UAACAAAGAGUUAUCCAAUCGUUGAUGAAAUAAAGUUUCUAGAUGGAAAAUAUUCCACCGUUAUAAAUUAAAUUAAAAAAUGAUAUCAGAUUCUCCACAACUCUUUGCCUCUUUUUUGUUGUUAUUUUCUCUUCAAAGCUUCUUCUAUCAGAUACAGUUUAAAAAGCUCUAAAACCUAAUCCUAUUGUUCCUCCUUUUGCUUAGAAAACUCAAGAAAAUCAGUUCUCAUUUUAUUUUCUUCGCCAUGGAUUCUCCUGGAAAGUCACUUAAAGUGAAGACUCCGGUGCAAGCUCCGAUCAAUAAGAAGCUAGAGAAAGAAGAAGAAAAGGAUGGAUUCACCACUCCAAAGGGGGGAAAUUUUAAAAUUCCACCGCUUACUAAGUGUCCUCCGGCUCCUGUGCGCGGCGGAAUCCAACAAGAGACCAUUGAAAAACGUCUGGGAAAAUCCACACCACGGAGGCUUACCGCCGUCGACGUUCAAGAUUUGAACACUUUCUUCUCAAGAACACAUACAUAAGUCGCAUAAUACGUUUCUUAAUGCCUUGCAUGGAAUUUGUCUAACUUUUUUAGUUAUGAUUUUAUCUUUAUUUUUUAAAAUAUAUUUUAAGUAGAAUAAAUGAAUGAUGAAGCAACUGAAAUUCAUACA